GAAGGAUCAUUAUCGAGUUUUGAACGGGUUGUCUGCUGGCUCGCAAGGGCAUGUGCACGCCUGUCUCAUCCACUCUCAACUUCUGUGCACUUUUCAUAGGCCGGCUUGUGGGUGCGUUCGCGCACUUGUAGGUGUCGGGCUUAUGCUUUACUACAAACGAUUCAGUUUUAGAAUGUCAUACUUUGCUAUAACGCAAUUUAUAUACAACUUUCAGCAACGGAUCUCUUGGCUCUCGCAUCGAUGAAGAACGCAGCGAAAUGCGAUAAGUAAUGUGAAUUGCAGAAUUCAGUGAAUCAUCGAAUCUUUGAACGCACCUUGCGCUCCUUGGUAUUCCGAGGAGCAUGCCUGUUUGAGUCUCAUGGAAUUCUCAACCUUCGGCUUUAUUGACGAAGGCUUGGACUUGGAGGUCGUGCCGGCUCUCGUAGUCGGCUCCUCUGAAAUGCAUUAGUGCGAACGUUACCAGCCGCUUCAGCGUGAUAAUUAUCUGCGUUGCUGUGGAGGGUAUUCUAGUGUUCGCGCUUCUAACCGUCUUCGGACAAAUUUCUGAACUCUGAGCUCAAAUCAGGUAGGACUACCCGCUGAACUUAAGCAUAUCAAUAAGCGGAGGAAAAGAAACUAACAAGGAUUCCCCUAGUAACUGCGAGUGAAGCGGGAAAAGCUCAAAUUUAAAAUCUGGCGGUCUUCGGCCGUCCGAGUUGUAAUCUGGAGAAGCGUUUUCCGCGCUGGACCGUGUACAAGUCUCUUGGAACAGAGCGUCAUAGAGGGUGAGAAUCCCGUCUUUGACACGGACUACCAGUGCUAUGUGAUGCGCUCUCGAUGAGUCGAGUUGUUUGGGAAUGCAGCUCAAAAUGGGUGGUAAAUUCCAUCUAAAGCUAAAUAUUGGCGAGAGACCGAUAGCGAACAAGUACCGUGAGGGAA
rnacentral:rRNA from 1 species